rnacentral:sRNA from 1 species
AGAAUCGAAACUGAGAGCUCCUGGGCAGGCUCGGCAGGGCAGGCAGCUCCAGGAGGACUUCGAACCGUGGCCAACAGUUCCAGUGGACCGCGUGGACCCGUGAGCUCAGGAGCCUCAGACGCCUCCCCGGAGAGCCAAGCUGGUGUUCGAGGUGGCGCCUCCAGGGUCCACCCUGCUGCCCAACAGCCCCGCGGCCACCAGAGGGCCGUCCCUGGCCCGGCUGUGUGCCCUGGUGGACCUGUGUCUGGGCUGCUCCCGCUGCACCCAGCGGCUCAAUGAAAGCACCUACGUCCUCCGUAGGGUGGAGCAUGACUGCUCCCGCGAGAUCCUGCUGGCCCGCUUUAAGCAGGCCACCAAGAGCAAGGUCUGGCGUGUGGUGGGCUGCCGGCCCACCUUCCCAAGGCCCCUGUGCUACCAAGUCUGCCACUACUACAGCCCUGGGCUCGGCUGCCGGCGCCACCGAAACCGGUGCACCUUUGCCCGCAGUCGCGAGGAGGCCCUGGUCUGGACCUUCGAGCGUCAGCACAACCUCCAGCGCCUAUGGCUGAAGGCAGAGGUGCAGGGCCGCGGGGCCCAGGGAGGGGCAGGCCGGGCGGCCGACGCCAUCCUUACGGAGUUUGGUGGCCGCUUCGAGCUGCUUUGCUCCCUCUGCUUCAGGCGCUGUCCCCCACGCAUCUGUCGCGUGGACCCCCAGGGGCAGUGCCCUGAGCACGGAGCCUGCCCCUCCCUCCUGGCCCAUGUGAGCGCCGAGGGCCGCCGCAAGCAACAGUUUGUGGCGGUGAGGCCGCAGCCCCGGGCCGGCCAGCCUCCUGCCUACUGCAGGUUUGUGGGGCGUGGGCAGCCGUGCUGGCGUGGGGAGUCCCGCUGCCAGUUCGCACACAGCGCCGUGGAGAUGGCUGUGUGGGAGGCCGAGCAGCUGGGUGGCCUCCAGCGGGGGGACCUGCUCACAACCCCUGCCCCUGAUGGUGACGGGCGCACGGCCCCCCUUGGCCAGCCCCCUGGGGCCCAGCUGUACUGCCCGGCCUGCUUGGUCACCUGCCACUCUCAGGAGGCCUUCGAGAACCACUGCGCAUCCUCGGAGCACGCACAGAUGGUGGCCUUCGACCAGGCCCUGCCCUGGGAGCACCGUUCCCCACCCCCGGGACUCUCCAAGUUCGAGCUCUGCCCAAAGCCUGACCUCUGUGAGUAUGGGGACGCCUGCACCAAGGCACACUCAGCACAGGAGCUGCAGGAGUGGGUUCGGCGCACGCAGGCUGUGGAGCUGCGGGGGCAGGCGGCCUGGCAGGACGGGCUGGUGCCCUACCAGGAGCGGCUGCUGGCCGAGUACCAGCGCAGCAGCAGUGAGGUCCUUGUGGUAAGUGGGCCCUGGGAGUGGGUGGGGUGGGGUGGGGUCCAGGCCUCUUGCUGAAGGCUAGACUUCCACGCAGCUGGCAGAGACCCUUGAUGGAGUGCGUGUCACCUGCAACCAGCCCCUGAUGUACCAGGCCCAGGAGAGGAAGACCCAGUACAGCUGGACGUUUGCCGUCCACUCUGAGGUGAGCGGAGAGCAGCUCCGACUGGGCGGAGGGAGCCCUGGGGAAGUGGUGACUUCAGCCCGGGCAGACGUCGACAGCCUGGGUCAUGGAGCUAAGACCGAGGCACUGCCGCUCAGCACCUGCGUGACCUGCAGCAGGUCCCUUAGCCUCUCUGCCUCAGUCUCCUCACCUAGAGACAGGGGGCCAGGACAGUCCCACCUUGGCAGGGUUAUUCUAUGGAGUAUAUGGGUUAAAACAAGGAUUUGGCCAGGUGCGGUGGUUCACGCCUGUAAUCCCAGCACUUUGGGAGACCGAGGCAGGUGGAUCACCUGAGGUCGGGAGUUCGAGAUCAGCCUGGCCAAUAGGGCGAAACUCCGUCUCUACUA